UACGCGUGCGUGCUGUGAUGCACGUACACGUGCGUGCGUGUGCGUGCCGUGUGACGUACAAGUGCGCACCGGGUGUGCCACGUACAUCGGCUAACUACGAACUCGUUAUAAACGAAAACAAUGCCAGCGUAUGA